AUUGAACGCUGGCGGCCGGCUUAACACAUGCAAGUCGAACGAGUGGCGGACGGGUGAGUAAUGUCUGCCAAAAUGCCUGUUGAAGGGGGCUAACUACUGGCAACGGUAGCUAAUACCGUAUCCCAUCAGAUGUGCCUCGAUUGGUUUAGCUUGUUGGUGGGGUAACGGCUCACCACGGCGACGAUCCCUAACUGGUCUGAGAGGGUGACCGGCCACACGGGGAAUGAGACACGGACCAGACUCCUACGGGAGGCAGCAGUGGGGAAUAUUGGACAAUGGACGCAAGCCUGAUGCAGCCAUGCCGCGUGAAUGAAGAAGGUCUUCGGGUUGUAAAGUACUUUCAGCGGGGAGGCGGUACCCGCAGAAAAAGCACCGGCUAACUACGUGCCAGCAGCCGCGGUAAUUC
rnacentral:rRNA from 1 species